GAUGAAGACGUAGCGAAAUGCGAUAAGUAAUGUGAAUUGCAGAAUUCAGUGAAUCAUCGAAUCUUUGAACGCACAUUGCGCCCGUUAGCAUUCUAGCGGGCAUGCCUGUCCGAGCGUCAUUUCAACCCUCAGGGUCCCCGUUCCGGCGGGGAACCUGGUGUUGGGGAUCGGCCCGCCCCGUGCGGCGCCGUCCCCCAAAUUCAGUGGCGGUCUCGCUGCAGCCUCCCCUGCGUAGUAGUUACAACCUCGCAUCGGAGCUCAGCGCGGCCACGCCGUAAAACCCCCGACUUUCUGAACGUUGACCUCGGAUCAGGUAGGAAUACCCGCUGAACUUAAGCAUAUCAAUAAGCGGAGGA
rnacentral:misc_RNA from 1 species